AUUGAACGCUGGCGGCAGGCUUAACACAUGCAAGUCGAGCGGGGGAAGGUAGCUUGCUACUGGACCUAGCGGCGGACGGGUGAGUAAUGCUUAGGAAUCUGCCUAUUAGUGGGGGACAACAUCUCGAAAGGGAUGCUAAUACCGCAUACGUCCUACGGGAGAAAGCAGGGGAUCUUCGGACCUUGCGCUAAUAGAUGAGCCUAAGUCGGAUUAGCUAGUUGGUGGGGUAAAGGCCUACCAAGGCGACGAUCUGUAGCGGGUCUGAGAGGAUGAUCCGCCACACUGGGACUGAGACACGGCCCAGACUCCUACGGGAGGCAGCAGUGGGGAAUAUUGGACAAUGGGGGGAACCCUGAUCCAGCCAUGCCGCGUGUGUGAAGAAGGCCUUAUGGUUGUAAAGCACUUUAGGCGAGGAGGAGGCUACUUUAGUUAAUACCUAGAGAUAGUGGACGUUACUCGCAGAAUAAGCGCCGGCUAACUCUGUGCCAGCAGCCGCGGUAAUACAGAGGGUGCGAGCGUUAAUCGGAUUUACUGGGCGUAAAGCGUGCGUAGGCGGCUUAUUAAGUCGGAUGUGAAAUCCCCGAGCUUAACUUGGGAAUUGCAUUCGAUACUGGUGAGCUAGAGUAUGGGAGAGGAUGGUAGAAUUCCAGGUGUAGCGGUGAAAUGCGUAGAGAUCUGGAGGAAUACCGAUGGCGAAAGCAGCCAUCUGGCCUAAUACUGAC
rnacentral:rRNA from 1 species